rnacentral:tRNA from 1 species
CCGUCGAUAGCUCAGUUGGAAGAGCGGUGGACUGUAGGAGUUUCGUACUAUGGGCAUCCAUAGGUCGCUGGUUCGAAUCCGGCUCGACGGA